rnacentral:rRNA from 1 species
AUGCAGAACUCGCACCACUACCCCCAUAGCUGGGUGAUACAAUCCCUAGUCCUUUAUCAUUGGAUGAAAAAGGAACGUUCUCGCAUGAAGGCUUCCUCACAAAUCCUUUUUGGAAUGACUUCAACUCAUCACAUCAGAUGCAGAAUUUGUCAACGGAGGCUUCACCAUUCACACCCUUACUUCAAACAGAACCAAAUUCAAUUGUUCAUUCCCAACUUAACACUAAUGGAGUGUUGGAUGAUGGUUCACUCUUUAAGAUGGUCACGAGGGAUGUCUCCGAGGUAA